CACCAUAAUCGCUAGCCACAUCACUACAACACCCUCUUCAAUCCUGUAAACCAGUUCAAUCGCUGCCCAUCAGGACCUGCAAACUGAACCGAUCUCAAUUGAUCUCUCGCUUUCUCUUUCUCGCCAACAUCAACCUUUUCGCCGAAAAACGAAUAAGCUUUACUAGAUCUGCGAAAAUCCACCCCUACGGGCUACGUCUCGAUGCCUCACACCACAUGUGAGAUUAACAAAAAAAAAUUAAAAACAAAAAUAAAAAAUCAAAGGAGUUAGUUACAGACAAUCCUACAUGAGAAAUGAUCACACCCAUCCACGUGGCAACAAUCCAAGCAAUCAACAGCGACCAUGCAUUAAAGAAACAAACCUACCCACCAUCUAUUCGAAACAUUAAACCACUUUUUUCUUUUUCGUUUUCCUUUUCUAUCCAUCUCCCCAACGCUCAAAAAUCAAAUCACAAGAAAUAAUAAUAAAAUAAAAAUAAUAAUAAAUGCUGGAAUUAUUCUUCGCCGUCGCCUUCUCGGCGGUGCCGCUAACGCUGUACAUACCGCCGGUAAGGAGCCUCAGCCUCUUCGCCGGAUCGUUCCAGCAACUCCUCCGUCACAUCACCGUCUAUGUUCUCCACAUCUGUCCUCGCUUGCGGUUAGCAUUCUCCCGGAUCUUCACUCCGAUUCUUCGAUCUCAGUUUCGCGCCAGGUAACCUAACGAAAACACACUCCGUCAUUCUGUACCAUUCGGUCGAAGCUGAUCUUAGUGAUCUCUGAUAUUUAUUGUUUUUGUACCAUUACGUGAAUUGCUUGUACGAAUUUGUAAAUGAACAAACUAAUAAGUGAUGUGCUAAUUCAGUGUAAUUUCGUCUGCGCAAGCGUUGUGCGAUUAUGAUUGAGUUUAUAUGAGGUUUUAUAUAAAUAGUUUGUGGAUAAUUGAAAGUUUCUAUGAUUGAUAUCGUAUUUGUUGGUUA